rnacentral:misc_RNA from 1 species
CUGAACGCCUCUAAGUCAGAAUCCAUGCCAGAACGCGGUGAUUUUUUCCCACACAUCGUAGUCGGAUACGAAUAGGCCUAUGGCCCUGAAUCUUAGCUGGUUGGCAACGGUCGUGCGGUGAAAGUCCGUACGGCUAGCUGACGUCUUGCAAUUUUACCAUGCGUGGGGUUAAAAACUUUGCAUACGACUUAGACAUAUCACCCGGUGCUGUAAAUAGUAGAGUAGUCUUGUUAUUACGAUCUAUUGAGGCUAAGCCGUGGCGAUUUAUUUUUGAGAGUAAUCUCCCUAAAGACAUGCCUGAUUCAGGCGGUCUUAAGGGGGGGGGUGCGCGACAGGAGGGGAUUGUUGGCUGAGGGGCAGUGAUCUGAGGGUAGGUCAGGUGUGUGAGAACAGGGACUUGAGAGGUCUCUACUGCGAGACAAAGGACCGGCAUAAAAAUGACUUCGCCGCUCGGGGGUGUUACAGUGGGCGAACCACUGGAGGGGGACGCGGAGUUAGGGUUGUACUACAGGGGACAGCUACAGUGGACCGCCCACUGAAGGAGGUCCCGGUAGGGGCCACACUGGACCUACCUUUGGAUCUGCCUUGGGGGGCUACUACAGUGGGUGCUACAGUGGGCAGUCCACUGAAGCAGGUGCCUGUAGGAGGCGGGGUCACAAUCGACCUACCCUCGGAUUAAAAUGACUUGGGGGAAAAAACCUGGCCGCACACCUUGCCUACCCUCGGAUCCGUCCUAGGGACUGGCUAUAGUGGGCGUUACAGUGGACGACUCACUGAAGGGGGGGCCUGGGGAAAGUCGUAGUGGACAGCUACAGUGGACCACUCACUAGAGGAGGUGCCUGUAGCAGGCUGGGUCACGGUCGACCUACCCUGUGAUCCAUCCUAGGAGAUCGCUAGGGGGCGGGGCCACAAUUGACCUACCCUCGGAUCGAAUUGACUUGGACAAAAAACCUGGGCUCACAUUUCGCCUACCCUCAGAUCUGCUCCAGGGGGCAGCUUCAGUGGGCGUUACAGUGGACGUCCCACUGAACAGGGACGCGGGAGAAAUUUUCAGGGGGCGGCUACAGUGGACUACCCACUGAAGCAGGUCCGUAGAGGUCAGGGUCACACUUGGCCUACCCUGUGAUCCGUCCUAGGGGGGUGCUAUAGUGAGGGGUCCACUGAAGGGGGAGCCUAAGGAAAGUUACAGUGGACAGCUACAGUGGACUACUCACUGAAGGAGGUCCCUGUAAAGACUUGGGCUCACAUUUGACCUACCCUGUGAUCCAUCCCAGGGGUAAGCUUCAGUGGGCGUUACAGUGAGGGGUCCACUAAACGGGGGCGCUGUAGAAAGUUACAGGGGACAGCUUACUGAAGGGGGUGCCUGGAAAAACUUGGUCGCACAUUUGACCUACCCUCGGAUCCUUCUUAGAGGGCAGCUCCAGGGGGUCCUACAGUGAUCUAACCACUGAAGGGAGGCGCCAUAAAGAAUUCCAGUGGACAGCUACAGUGGACCUCCCACUGAAGCAGGUGCCGAUAAAGGCUCGGGUCACACCUGGCCUACCCUCAGAUCCGGGCUAGGGGACCGCUACAGUGGACCAUCCACUGAAGGGAGGCGCUGUAAAAGAUUCUAGGGGACAGCUACAGUGGACGACUCACUGUAGGAGGUACCUGUAGGGGGCGGGGUCACAGUUGGCCUACCCGGUGAUCCAUCCUAGGGGACGGCUACAGCGGGCGUUACAGUGGACGUCCCACUGAACAGGGACGCGGGAGAAAUUUUCAGGGGGCGGCUACAGUGGACUACCCACUGAAGGGACUGCCUGUAGAAAGUGGGGUCACACUUGGCCUACCCUUGGAUCCACCCUAGGGAGGUGCUUCAGUGGGCGCUACAGUGGAUGGUCCUCUGGGCGAGGGCGCUAUAAAAGAUUUUAGUAGACGACUAUAGUAGACCGCCCACUGUAGCAGGUGCCUGUGGGAGGUGAGGUUCACACUUGACCUACCCUCGGAUCUCCUCCUGGAGAGAAAUUCUUCUAAGGUCGUCGAUCCGCGGAUUUGCACCAAACGUUUUGGUGAGGGGGGGGGGGGGGUCUCAAACUUUUUGCACACAAAACGUUUUUCGGAACCCCCAAAUCCUGCCAGAGGCAUUUGCACACAGAUUUUAAGGCCAAAGGAAGUCGGUGGGUAUAUAAGGGGAGGUGUCCUGAGUGGGUCGGGGGGCCUAAGGGAGAUGGUGCUGGGUGAUUCUAGCGUGUCCCUCGGGGUGAUAGGUCGGUGUCCAGUGGUCAUAGGUCGGGGACUGAUUCUUAGAGGUUUUGGGGGUACCUAGGCAUGGAGGCCCCCGCUAUCGGGCGUGGGUUGUAGGCUAUCUGUCCGCUAGGGGUCCGCUGGGGGCGGCUGCGAGGGGGUGCGAGGGGCUAGGGGCUAGGACUUCAGGGGGGCUCGUGGCUAGCUGGGGCCACGGAUCGUGAUACGUGCAGGCCUAUCGAGGGGCUCGUGGGGAGCUGGGGGAACCCCUUUCCCGGGGCUGGCCUUCUCUGAGGGCCAAGCGCGGGGGGGGGACGAGGGCCAGGCCGCCCUUGCCGUCACGGCAGAAGGCCCGCGGAGGGGCAGGGCCUCUGGGAGAGGGGAGAGGGGAUCGCCGGGUAGGCCAGGUGUGCGGGGCGGCGGCCUCGGACGGAUUUUUCCUCCCCCUUUUCUCCUUGUUCCUGUUUGCCCUCUGCACGGCAGCGUCACCGGGGCUUUCCAGGCACUUUCGGCGGGCUCGGGCGCUGGGGUUAGGCUCUGGAGGCCCUUGGGGUUAGCGCUGGGGGCGUUGGGGUUAGGGUUAUGGCGGGGAGGAUCGCAGGGUAGGUCAAGUGUGUAGGGUUAGGCUACAGGGGACUUGACGCUGUAGAGCCUGUAAGUUAUAGGGGGGGAGCCCUAUAAGACGCUGUAACUUCCAGGGGCGGUAGGGCAGGUAGGAUCCGAGGGUAGGCCCGGUGUGAUCCAAGGGUAGGUGAGGUGUGAUCCAAGGGUAGAUGGGAUGUGGAUGCGAGGGUAGGCGAGGUGUGAGAGGGGGACUUGGGGAAAGCUCCAGGCUGUAGAAGCCUAGGUGGGCACCCCUAGGGGGGUCCUUACAGCGAUGUGAGGCCCUGGAACCCCCCUGGGGCGGUCGCUGGAGAAGUGAGAGGGGAUCCAAGGGUAGGUCAGGUGUGUGGGGGGUGGAGAGUGAUUCCGAGGGUAGGUCAAGUGUGAGGAGAUGAUCUUAUCCUCUUCCCGACCCCCUUUCGACACGUUCCCAUGCCCUCCCGACCAUAUCAAGGGCGCUGAUUCCAACGCCGUUGCCCGCUUGUCCGUAGGGGCUCGGGUUCGCCCGCAACCCGACCUCGCCCUAGGGCAGUGAGACCUACAGCGUUCGAUAGCCCUGCUGACUUCCGUUAGGGUCACUCUUCAGGCUUCGAUACGCUGGAGGAGACCCCUAUCAACUUGGUCGGGGGACUUUACAGAGGGACCCCCCCCCCCUCCGAUUUUUUUUUUUUGGAUCUUGCAAAAUGGUCAGGACCUCUAUUCAAGUUGCACCUAUUUCUCCUCAACUGAAAGUAACUUUUCCAGUCCGGCAGAUAUUUGAGGGUAGCGACCGCAGAAAAGGUGCUUCCCGGCUCGGGGAAUCUAACGCCGCAGCCCGUUUGGCCGUAGCUGGGAGGGAGCCCGAGAUAUUGAAUUUAUCGGCAAAGUAUUUGGGACCCCCCCCCCCUCUCAAACUUUUCCCCGGCGGCUCUGGGACCGGUCCCCGUGCCCCCCCGACUAUAUCGAGGGCGCUGAUUCCAACGCCGUUGCCCGCUUGUCCGUAGGGGCUUGGGUUCGCCCGGAACCCGACCUCGUCCCUAGGCAGUGGGACCUACAGCGGUCGACAGCCCUGCCGAUUUCCGCUAGGGUCACUCUUCAGGGUACCCCCCUCACUGGAGUCGACCGCCGGAAAAAAAACUACAGGGUGCGAGUGCCCUGGAAGGGGGGAGGUGCGGCGGUGCGGGUGCGGAUCGCGAAUUUUUCUAAGGUCGUCGAUCCGCGGAUUUGCACCAAACUUUUUGGUGAGGGGGGGGGGGGUUUCAAAUCUUUUGCACACAAAACGUUUUUCGGAACACCCAAAUUUUGGCAAAAUCAUUUGCACACAAAUUUUAAGGCCAAAGGAAGUCGGUGGGUAUAUGAAGGGAGCAGACUGGAGUCAAAUCGAAUAAAUCUCACAGUGGGUUACGGCGGUCUAACAACUAACGUGACACACUGGGAGUACCUUUAAUUAGGUACGGUGACCACUGCGAAGGUUCUGUCUCCUUUUUGCGGGCUAUUACUUCAGUGAUACUUACGCUACAACAUGCCUAGCAUGGGCGCCUUAACCAGGUCGAAGUCGCUAUUUGCUUGAUUUCCCUGGGGCGCGCGGUAACCAACCCGUUGUACCAUAUUUGCCAGACUCCAUCUAUUUCCGGUUAGCACUCAGGCAGCGUGGGGGCCCAGACCUAGCCGGCAAAGUGGAGUCGCCUGUGGAAGCAGUCACCUGUCACGUAAAACUCUCAGGCCUGUGGAAGCGCCAAACGUCGCAUCGGCCUCGGUCGGUGCGCGCGGUUGGGGUCUGUGGAUUAAUGGCCGAUGGCCUAUCCUAAUUCUUAAGACACACUCGGGGGUAAGCCUGAGCAGGUAGCCGUCCCCGGACGUGACCUGCGAACGGUAUCCUCCUCCUGCGGGACACAUGUUACACGCUGCGACGGUGCCUGGCACUCGAGCUUUAGUGUAGCGGACUGCCCUGUGGGGAACUCAGUGGGGGCAAUUGGAUGGCGCGCGAGCCCUGUGAGCCUUGCUCCGGGGUGCUGCGCGCUGCGGUGUAAACCGCCUUCUCAGUGCAACAACUCUGCCUCCUUCGGGGGGUCGCGUUCGGCUCCGGUCGUCCGCUCAAGAUAGUUACCUGGUUGAUUCUGCCAGUAGUCAUAUGCUUGUCUC